GUACCUGAAUGAUUGGACUUUAUUUGCGCAGUAUAGGUGGGAGGCGUUGAGAAUAUUCUUGCGGGAAUAUUGGAGUCAUCAGUGAGAUACCACUCUUGUAAUGUUAGAUUUCUAACUUUGUAUCAUUAUCUGGUCAAAGGACAGUUUCAGGCGGGCAGUUUGACUGGGGCGGUCGCCUCCCAAACGGUAACGGAGGCGCACAAAGGUUUCCUCUGAACGUGUAGAAAUCGUAUCUAGAGUGUAAAGGCAUAAGGAAGCUUGACUGUGAGACCUACAAGUCGAGCAGGGACGAAAGUCGGUCUUAGUGAUCUGACGGUGCUGAGUGGAAAGGCCGUCACUCAACGGAUAAAAGUUACUCUAGGGAAACCAGGCUGAA
rnacentral:rRNA from 1 species